GGGUGCGAUCAUACCAGCACUAAUGCACCGGAUCCCAUCAGAACUCCGCAGUUAAGCGUGCUUAGGCGAGAGCAGUACUAAGAUGAGUGACCUCUUGGAAAGUCCUCGUGUUGCACACC
rfam:Citrus clementina cultivar Clemenules unplaced genomic scaffold scaffold_7, whole genome shotgun sequence.